CUUGUUUCUGCCCUUGGAACCUCUUAGAAGGUGCCAUCCCUCUUAAGAGUCCAUGUGGUCCCAGCUUCCAAAGCACCACAUAAUUUAGCUCUUUUCUUUUUUUUUUUUUUUUUUUUGAGACACAUAAUUUAGCUUUUUUCUUUUUUUUUUUCACUCUUGUUGCUCAGGCUGGAAUGCAAUGGCUCCAUCUCGGCUCACCACAACCUCUGCCUCCUGGGUUCAAGUGAUUCUCCUGCCUCAGCCUUUCUGAGUAGCUGGGAUUACAAGCAUGUGCCACCAUGCCCGGAUAAUUUUUAGUAGAGACGAGGUUUCUCCAUGUUGGUCAGGCUGGUUUCAAACUCCCGACCUCGGGUGAUCCGCCUUCCUCGGCCUCCCAAAGUGCUGGGAUUACAGGCAUGAGCCACCGUACCCGGCCUAAUUUAGCUCUUUCCAUCUGCUUGAUUUAGCCAAGGCCACUUUCCUGUAACUUUCCACAGGGCCAGUCCCCUUCAUUUGACCUGAUAACAAGAACUCGUGACUUUAACUGGACAAAUGAGGGAGCCAACUGACUUGAGGUGUACAACAGAACAGUCAUGAGGAAGGGACCUCUAUCCACAGUCCUGUGAGCAAAGGAAGCAACAGACAGCAAAGGAAGCAACAGACAGCUGCCAGCACAAAGUCUCAACACACUGCCUCCAGGAAGUAAGACUGCAGGAUGGCGGGAAGCAGAUGUAGUAUGGGUGAGCCCAGCCCCCCUCACCAUCUGUGGACCCCAGGCAAUGCAGUCAACCUUCAUUCAUCCUUUAUUGAAAAGGCGGGGAGGGGCUAUCAAGUCCUUUGCUGAAUUUUAGUGAGAAUUAAUUCAGAUACAUACCAAAUGCCUCACACAUGCGUGGCUUGAGCUAAGUGUUAUACACAGCUAUUAUUUUUAAUUAUAUUACACAUAAACUCCCUGAGGCCGGUGACAGUGCUUUGCAAUAAUAACUAAUCAACAACAGUCAAUGCAGUAAGUGAAGAGUAGAAUUCCAGCAUACUAAAGGGUUAGGAUCUAGGGAUGAGAGCCCCAACCACCUCUAUCAGAAACAGAGCUGCUGGGCCAGGUGUAGUGGCUCCCACCUGUAAUCCCAGCACUUUGGGAGGCCGAGGCAGGCGGAUCACUUGAGGUUAGGAGUUUGAGACCAGCCUGGGAGACAUGGUGAAACCCUAUCUCUACUAAAAAUACAAAAAUUAGCUGGGUGUGGUGGUGUGUGCCUGUACUCCCAGCUACUCGGGAGGCUGAGGCAGGAAAAUUGCUUGAACCCAGGAGGCAG
rnacentral:lncRNA from 1 species